rnacentral:misc_RNA from 1 species
UCACAUCUUACGACGGCAGUCUCUCUAGAGUCCUCAGCAUAACCUGUUAGUAACUAAAGAUAAGGGUUGCGCUCGUUAUGGCACUUAAGCCGACACCUCACGGCACGAGCUGACGACAACCAUGCAGCACCUUCACAACUGCCCGAAGGAAUAGAUGUUUCCACCUACGUCAGUUGCAAUUUAAGCCCGGGUAAGGUUCCUCGCGUAUCAUCGAAUUAAACCACAUGUUCCUCCGCUUGUGCGGGCCCCCGUCAAUUCCUUUGAGUUUCACCGUUGCCGGCGUACUCCCCAGGUGGAAUACUUAAUGCUUUCGCUUGGCCGCUUGCUGUAUAUCGCAAACAGCGAGUAUUCAUCGUUUACUGUGUGGACUAC